UAUAAAUAUAUACAUAAAUUGCAUAUCUGCAUCCAAAAUCUACAAAAUUUUAUCUUCUAACAAGAACAGAGUUUACAUUUCUUUUGAACAUUUAUUUACACUAAAAGCCCCUGUCACUUAGUAUAUUGUUUGUAGCAAUUAUUCAGGGUAGCAACCGUUUUCAAAUACCACUACUAAUGUUGAAGCUUGAUGAUCAUUGUAUCAUA
rnacentral:lncRNA from 1 species